rnacentral:rRNA from 1 species
CCUACGGGAGGCAGCAGUGAGGAAUAUUGGUCAAUGGGCGGAAGCCUGAACCAGCCAAGUAGCGUGCGGGAUGAAGGCCCUACGGGUCGUAAACCGCUUUUGCAAGGGGAUAAAACCCUGCACUUGUGGAGGUCUGCAGGUACCGUGCGAAUAAGGGCCGGCUAAUUCCGUGCCAGCAGCCGCGGUAAUACGGAAGGGCCGAGCGUUAUCCGGAUUCAUUGGGCUUACAGGGAGCGUAGGCGGGCGGUCAAGUCAGCUGUAAAAUCGCGAGGCUCAACCCCGCCCCGCAGUUGAACCUGGACGCCUUGAGUUCACAACAGGCAGGCGGACUUCGUGGUGUAGCGGUGAAAUGCAUAGAUAUCACG